rnacentral:tRNA from 1 species
AUUUAAAUAAUUUAAUUAAAAUGUUGAUUUGUGGUGUCAAAAAUAUGAAUAAUAUUCAAUUUUAAAUU